rnacentral:rRNA from 1 species
UACGUAGGGUGCGAGCGUUGUCCGGAAUUACUGGGCGUAAAGAGCUCGUAGGUGGUUUGUCGCGUUGUUCGUGAAAACUCACAGCUUAACUGUGGGCGUGCGGGCGGAUACGGGCAGACUGGAGUACUGCAGGGGGAGACUGGAAUUCCUGGUGUAGCGGUGGAAUGCGCAGAUAUCAGGAGGAACACCGGUGGCGAAGGCGGGUCUCUGGGCCGAUACUGACGCUGGAGGAGCGAAAGCCGUGGGGAGCGAACAGG